UUGAACGCUGGCGGCAGGCCUAACACAUGCAAGUCGAACGGUAACAGGAAGAAGCUUGCUUCUUUGCUGACGAGUGGCGGACGGGUGAGUAAUGUCUGGGAAACUGCCUGAUGGAGGGGGAUAACUACUGGAAACGGUAGCUAAUACCGCAUAACGUCGCAAGACCAAAGAGGGGGACCUUCGGGCCUCUUGCCAUCGGAUGUGCCCAGAUGGGAUUAGCUAGUAGGUGGGGUAACGGCUCACCUAGGCGACGAUCCCUAGCUGGUCUGAGAGGAUGACCAGCCACACUGGGACUGAGACACGGUCCAGACUCCUACGGGAGGCAGCAGUGGGGAAUAUUGCACAAUGGGCGCAAGCCUGAUGCAGCCAUGCCGCGUGUAUGAAGAAGGCCUUCGGGUUGUAAAGUACUUUCAGCGGGGAGGAAGGGAGUAAAGUUAAUACCUUUGCUCAUUGACGUUACCCGCAGAGGAAGCACCGGCUAACUCCGUGCCAGCAGCCGCGGUAAUACGGAGGGUGCAAGCGUUAAUCGGAAUUACUGGGCGUAAAGCGCACGCAGGCGGUUUGUUAAGUCAGAUGUGAAAUCCCCGGGCUCAACCUGGGAACUGCAUCUGAUAUUGGCAAGCUUGAGUCUCGUAGAGGGGGGUAGAAUUCCAGGUGUAGCGGUGAAAUGCGUAGAGAUCUGGAGGAAUACCGGUGGCGAAGGCGGCCCCCUGGACGAAGACUGACGCUCAGGUGCGAAAGCGUGGGGAGCAAACAGGAUUAGAUACCCUGGUAGUCCACGCCGUAAACGAUGUCGACUUGGAGGUUGUGCCCUUGAGGCGUGGCUUCCGGAGCUAACGCGUUAAGUCGACCGCCUGGGGAGUACGGCCGCAAGGUUAAAACUCAAAUGAAUUGACGGGGGCCCGCACAAGCGGUGGAGCAUGUGGUUUAAUUCGAUGCAACGCGAAGAACCUUACCUGGUCUUGACAUCCACGGAAGUUUUCAGAGAUGAGAAUGUGCCUUCGGGAACCGUGAGACAGGUGCUGCAUGGCUGUCGUCAGCUCGUGUUGUGAAAUGUUGGGUUAAGUCCCGCAACGAGCGCAACCCUUAUCCUUUGUUGCCAGCGGUCCGGCCGGGAACUCAAAGGAGACUGCCAGUGAUAAACUGGAGGAAGGUGGGGAUGACGUCAAGUCAUCAUGGCCCUUACGACCAGGGCUACACACGUGCUACAAUGGCGCAUACAAAGAGAAGCGAACUCGCGAGAGCAAGCGGACCUCAUAAAGUGCGUCGUAGUCCGGAUUGGAGUCUGCAACUCGACUCCAUGAAGUCGGAAUCGCUAGUAAUCGUGGAUCAGAAUGCCACGGUGAAUACGUUCCCGGGCCUUGUACACACCGCCCGUCACACCAUGGGAGUGGGUUGCAAAAGAAGUAGGUAGCUUAACCUUCGGGAGGGCGCUUACCACUUUGUGAUUCAUGACUGGGGUG
rnacentral:rRNA from 1 species